rnacentral:tRNA from 1 species
GAAUGUUAACCACAGAGUGGACUUAAUUUCGGCUUAAGACUUUGCUAUUGAAUUUUAGCAACAUUUA